UACAGAGGUCUCAAGCGUUGUUCGGAUUCAUUGGGCGUAAAGGGUGCGUAGGCGGCGCGGUAAGUCGGGUGUGAAAUCUUGGAGCUUAACUCCGAAACUGCAUUCGAUACUGCCGUGCUUGAGGACUGGAGAGGAGACUGGAAUUUACGGUGUAGCGGUGAAAUGCGUAGAUAUCGUAAGGAAGACCAGUGGCGAAGGCGGGUCUCUGGCCAGUUCCUGACGCUGAGGCACGAAGGCCAGGGGAGCAAACGGG
rnacentral:rRNA from 1 species